CUGGGAGAGCGCGCUCCUUGUACCAGUUGGGACCGUGAACGGGGCCGAGCGGAAGCGUCUAAAGGCAGCUCCAGCGCUUUGCAGGUGCCGGGGAACCCCUGCUUCCCUCAUGACAGGAUUUCAUAGUGGUAUCAGGGCUCUAUUUUGCUGGCCAUGGGGAAAGAAGUCACCUGGAGCAAUAUCACCUGCUGAUCUGACAAAAACAUGCAGAAGUUUCAGCUCCCUGACUCGUGUUGUGGAAACCAGUGGAUAUAGAGCUAUUAGGAAGAAUUCUUUACUAAAGAAGUUUGACUUAGAGACUGUAUCAGUCAGGGUUCUCCAGAGGAGCAGAAUCAGUAGGAUAUAUUCAUAAAGAAAUUUAUUUUAAGGAAUUGGCUCCUACAAUUGUAGGAGGAUUGGUGAGUCCAAAAUCCUAUGAGGGAGGCUGGGGGCUUAAGACUGCGGAAAGAGUUUCAGUGGGAGUUCAAAGGCAGUCUGCUGUAAAAUCGAGACUAGGUGAUGCUGCAUAUGAAGUCUAAAAGUUGUCUGAUGCCAAGUGCCCUCUUGACUUUUUCUUCUAUCCAGGCUUUCGACUAAUUGGAUGAGACUCAGCCACAUUAUAGAGAGAAGUCAGCUUUACUCAAAGUCUAUCAAUUUAAAAAUUAAUUCCUUCCAAAUACCCUCACAGAAAUAUCCAGAAUAAUGUUUGACAAAAUGUCUGGGCACUAUAGUCCAGACAAACUGAUACAUAAAAUUAGCCAUAACAGACACAUCGGACUUGAUUCAUCUAUUCUUUGACGUUAAUAAAUAUUGAACACCAUCUGUGUCCUACAUACUAUUCAAAGUGCUUGGAAUACCAGAGUGAACUAAACGAAGUCCCUGUAUUCAUGGGGCUCACAUGCUAUUGGGGGAGAUAGUCAAGUAGUGAUAAGUGGUGUGAAGAAAAAUUAAAACAAGCAGAACCUGAUGAGGAUGCUAUUCUAGACAGAAAAGUCAAGGAAGGCAUCUUUGAAGAGAUGUCAUUUGAGAAAUACCCAGAGGAAGAGAGUGAAUCAUUUGAAUAGUUAGGGAAGAGCUUUCAAUCUGUCUGAAGAGUAAGGAGGUACAAAGGCCCUGAGAUGGUAAUGUCCUAGGUUAUUCAAAGAACAGCAAGGAGGCCAGACCAGGAGAGGCUGACUGAGUGAGGUAGAAUGGUAGGAAAUAGGGCAGAGCCUUGUGGGAGGCUUCAGAGCAUCUUUGCUGAAGGAUUCAAGAGAAGUUCCAGAGAAAGAUUAAGACCUGGGCUCUAGAUGUUGUCUUUAAUCUUCAGCAUCAAGUGUCCCUUCCAUUUCCUCAGAUCAUACCUUCCCCCUUGGAAUUAACGAAGCCCAGCCUCUUCGAGUAUUUUGCACAUUAUGUCACCUCUGGCCUCAGCGGGAUAUGAACACAAUCUCAGUCUGUUCUGGCUCCUGCUGUUUCUGCAGAGAGGAGAGGAUGAGCUCCCAUGCUAGGAAGGGGGGUGGAAGGGUGGGAUAAGUUGGACUAUUUCAAUUUCUGUUUGUUCUCUCUACCAGCAGGGCUGUGUCCAGGCUUUGUCUUUACCCGAAAACAAACACAUCUUACCUUUGUGAUGUAGUUUUUUUUGGGGGGUGGUCUAGUCCAGGGGUUGGCACAUUUUGGCCGAUGGACCAAAUCUCACAGGCCUGUUUUCAUGACAUUUUAUCGAAAUACAACCACACUCAUGUGUUUAAAUAUUGUUUAUGGCUAUUUCUGUGUUUUAACUGUAGAGUUGAAUAGUUGCAGCAGGGACUGUAUGGCCUAAAAAGCCUAAAAUAUUUACUGUCUGGCUCUUUACAGAAAAAGUUUGCCCACCUCUGGUGCAUAGUCUAUGACAGAAAUGUAUAUUUUUUCUAAUAAUAUGACUUUAAGUCUAUUUCUUACAAAAUAAAAGUCUCGGCCUUAUUAUGCUAAAAUAUUUUCUUCUACUUGGCUUGGUCCCUUUAAUUAUGGAGGUUCCCACAUAAACUGACAAGGCUUGUGGCUGAGCCAUCUGGUUAAAUGGCCUAACAGUAACUUGGUUUCUUCCUAAUUUCCAGGCAUCUCCCCUGAGAGGAGGAGUGGAGCUUAAGUUCAGCCUGUCACACCUGUAGUUUUCAGUUAAUUUUUGGUGUGUGACUCAUGGCUGUUAACAGAAAUGUGUGUGGUCAAAACAGUGUAGAAGACUUAUCCAAACGAGCAAACAUAAAAGUGUUUACAUAUGUUCAUAGAUGAGUGUUUUAAGAGAUGCUCAAAGAGAAAUGAAACGUGAUUGCCAUCAGUAGUUGCACUAGGAUGUAUAUUUUACAACUAGAUCUAUAUUUAAAAAAUAUUUUAAUAUUAGUACUAAUAGAUUUGACAUGUGUGUUAGGGAGAGAACACUGGAAUCUUAGAGUUAAAUGCAACUCGAAGAGAACAUACUCCUUCAUUCCUGACACAAGUUUAAGAAUUUCUUUUGCGAUGACAGUCAGAUACAGUAUAUGACAUUUGCAGUAGAAGUGUUAUUUUCCCAUUGUUUCUUUCUUUGAUGAAUUACUCCUUUCCCAUUUCAUGUCAUCUUGUGGGCAUGUGACUGGGACUGACCCAUACAUGUACCCUAUUCCUUUGGUCACAGUUAUUAGUCCAGGGAAUGCAUAUGAUGUAAACUGGAACAUCCUUCCUGGUCUUGUUUGCUUUGAUUGCCGGAGCUCUUAUUUUCUUCUUUACCUUCCUAAGAUUUCUGCUUUACCUCAGAAUGAUGCAGAGUUCAAAUUUGCCCUGGGUAAUUGGAGUAGACUGUAAAAUUUAUUUAAAAUAUUACUUACAAUUUGAAAUGUCAUUGGAUUUUUAAAUUGGAAUAGAUUGUCUUUUCUAUAACAAUUUCACCCAUCCCACAUUACUCUUCUGCAAUGUGACUCUGCCAUGCUCCAUCAUGAGGUGGUGUAUAACACUCCUCUUGAAUAUGGGCUGGCCUUAGUGACUAGUUUGAUGAGUAGAAUGUAGCAGAAGUGACAAAUAAUAAGCUCGAUAAAAUUUCAUACCCAUAACCAGUACCCAGAUCAAAAAAUGGAACAUUACCAACCCCCAGAAGCCUCCUUUUAUGUGCCUGUCUGCUAUCUCCUACAAGGUCACCUCUGUUUUGACUUUUGAAACUAUUGCUUAAUUUUGCUUGUUUGCGAAUUGUAUAUAAAUGGUAUCUUUUGUGUCUGGCUUCUUUAGCUCAACUUUAUGUUUGUGAGUUCAUUUAUGUUGUCAUAUGUGGUUAUACUUGUUCAUUCUCGUGGUAGUAUUUCAUUGUUUGAAUAUACUAAAAUGUAUUAAUCCAAUCUGCUGUUGAUAAACAUUGAGUAGUUCCAAUAUUAUGAAUAGCGCUGCUAAAAACAUUCUUGUCCAUGUCAUUUGGUAAACAUACACAUACAUUGCUGUUGGGUGUAUACUAGGAAUAGAAGUGCAUAUGUUUACCUUAGUCAAUAUUGCCAAACAGUUUUCCGAAGAGGUUGUACCAAUUUACCCUUCCACUUCCAGCUGCUGUGCCAACUGUGCCUUCUCUGUUGCUACUAAAAUUACCGUCACAGGAUUUUGCUAAUCCUUGAAAUUUUAAUGAAACAGCUUUUUUUAAAGUUUCACUGGCUUUUUAAAGCCAUGGAACCUGGGUCAUAGGACAUUGUCCUAUGACCCAGGUAAAAUCAGCCAAUGUCCUAUGACCCAGGUAAAAUCAUCCCUCCCCUCUGGCCCUGUCUUGAUGUCAUCGAACCCAGUGUGUGUACUUUGACUUUUCCCUUAGGGUGAGCUGCUUCCCAGGAGUCCCCUGGCCUCUCCUGUGUACAACCCCUAGCAAGAUUAU